UUUUCCCCAUGUGGUCUCCAAAUCUUCUCUAUUUUACACUAUACAUUUGAAACAAAUUAACUCAGUGCUUCAAUCUUCUCGAAGGAUUCGAAAUCAGUGUAUACCUCAGAAAUUCAACCACAUUAAUAGUAUGCCAGAGAAAAUCAUAUGUGUGCAAUUAAAUCGCAAUAUUUUGUGUGACCACAUGUGCGGUUUGAGCCAAGAUCAUCUUUGAAUGAAUUAAUCACAGAUUUUCUCACAUGAAGGCACAAAACAGAUGAUUAGCAGUGCUGAGAUUGUGUCACGCAGCCUUCGAUGUGAAAGGGGAACUGUGCUGCUCUGUAACGUCAGCGUUUGGCUUCGAACGGUCAUGGGUAUCAUUAUGACCCUCCCAGCGUCCGACUGUUCGUGAUAUGGAACUGCCAAUGCCUUUUGGGCAGAUUUCAUCUCCUGCUGUCAACUCCAGAGUCUUUGUCUGGCUAAGAUGGCCCAGUUUCGCCGUCGGUGUCGUGUUGCAGGCUCCGGCCGUGUGUGUCUGUGUACGCAGGUCUGUGCUAAGCGCGCCUGUUGACAGUUAUGCUAAACAGACCACCAUCGUUUGAAAGCAGCCAUAUCAGCUGGUCAUGGUACUGGAAGUUAAACACAUCUGUUGAAUCAGGGUACCCACAGCGCUGGAAAAUGUUUCUGUCUACGGCCCAGAUGAGGAGAGUCUCCAAGCCACAACAUGACAUCCAUCUCAGGAUAUUUAAUGAGGAUGUCUACCGCUGGAUUCAUGUGAGGCCCACAUCACUGAGGACAAAGGGUGAAUUCUUCCCCGGCCGAGCACGGCUAGAGGAAGUAGUGCAGAUGCCAGUGGAGAUAACUGAGUGUGGGUUCGAGUUUCAACCAGCUGGACAGGCAUACUUCUACUGUGCACAGAACUGGGUGGAAUUGAGAGUGGAGUGUGUGAACCAAAAAGUAUUACGCAAUGUUAUUUUUUGUAUUUUUUUUAAUGGCUACCAUGUCAUUAGUAUAGAGAAAUGCUUGAAAAUGAAAAUGACAGUGGUGGAAGAGAGCUAAAGUGUG